rnacentral:rRNA from 1 species
CAGUAGCCGCGGUAAUACGUAUGGGGCGAGCGUUGUCCGGAAUUAUUGGGCGUAAAGGGUACGUAGGCGGUUUUUUAAGUCAGGUGUGAAAGCGUGAGGCUUAACCUCAUUAAGCACUUGAAACUGGAAGACUUGAGUGAAGGAGAGGAAAGUGGAAUUCCUAGUGUAGCGGUGAAAUGCGUAGAUAUUAGGAGGAAUACCGGUGGCGAAGGCGACUUUCUGGACUUUUACUGACGCUCAGGUACGAAAGCGUGGGGAGCAAACAGGAUUAGAUACCCGGGUAGUCCCUGUCUCUUAUACA